rnacentral:rRNA from 1 species
AGUGAACGCUGGCGGUAGGCCUAACACAUGCAAGUCGAACGGCAGCACAGUAAGAGCUUGCUCUUACGGGUGGCGAGUGGCGGACGGGUGAGGAAUACAUCGGAAUCUACUUUUUCGUGGGGGAUAACGUAGGGAAACUUACGCUAAUACCGCAUACGACCUACGGGUGAAAGCAGGGGAUCUUCGGACCUUGCGCGAUUGAAUGAGCCGAUGUCGGAUUAGCUAGUUGGCGGGGUAAAGGCCCACCAAGGCGACGAUCCGUAGCUGGUCUGAGAGGAUGAUCAGCCACACUGGAACUGAGACACGGUCCAGACUCCUACGGGAGGCAGCAGUGGGGAAUAUUGGACAAUGGGCGCAAGCCUGAUCCAGCCAUACCGCGUGGGUGAAGAAGGCCUUCGGGUUGUAAAGCCCUUUUGUUGGGAAAGGAAAGCAGCAGGUUAAUACCCCGCUGUUCUGUCGGUACCCAAAGAAUAAGCACCGGCUAACUUCGUG